rnacentral:rRNA from 1 species
GUCUACGGCCAUGCCACCCUGAACAAGCCUGAUCCUGUCUGAUCUCGGAAGCUAAGCAGGGUCAGGCCUGGUUAGUACUUGGAUGGGAGACCACCUAGGAAGACCAGAUGCUGUAGGUG